CCUACGGGAGGCAGCAGUGGGGAAUUUUGGACAAUGGGCGCAAGCCUGAUCCAGCAAUGCCGCGUGAGUGAAGAAGGCCUUCGGGUUGUAAAGCUCUUUUGUCAGGGAAGAAACGGUGGGGGCUAAUAUCCCUCGCUAAUGACGGUACCUGAAGAAUAAGCACCGGCUAACUACGUGCCAGCAGCCGCGGUAAUACGUAGGGUGCAAGCGUUAAUCGGAAUUACUGGGCGUAAAGCGUGCGCAGGCGGUUUUGUAAGUCUGUCGUGAAAGCCCCGGGCUCAACCUGGGAAUUGCGAUGGAGACUGCAAGGCUUGAAUCUGGCAGAGGGGGGUAGAAUUCCACGUGUAGCAGUGAAAUGCGUAGAGAUGUGGAGGAACACCGAUGGCGAGGGCAGCCCCCUGGGUCAAGAUUGACGCUCAUGCACGAAAGCGUGGGGAGCAAACAGGAUUAGAUACCCUGGUAGUCCACGCCCUAAACGAUGUCUACUAGUUGUCGGGUUUUAAUUAACUUGGUAACGCAGCUAACGCGUGAAGUAGACCGCCUGGGGAGUCGGUCGCAAGNUUAAAACUCAAGGAUUGACGGNUGNGAGNGCGAGACGACGACGAGGAGAGG
rnacentral:rRNA from 1 species